rnacentral:rRNA from 1 species
AGAGCGGCGGACGGGUGAGUAACGCGUGGGUAACCUGCCCUGUACACACGGAUAACAUACCGAAAGGUAUGCUAAUACGAGAUAAUAUGCUUUUAUCGCAUGGUAGAAGUAUCAAAGCUCCGGCGGUACAGGAUGGACCCGCGUCUGAUUAGCUAGUUGGUAAGGUAACGGCUUACCAAGGCGACGAUCAGUAGCCGACCUGAGAGGGUGAUCGGCCACAUUGGAACUGAGACACGGUCCAAACUCCUACGGGAGGCAGCAGUGGGGAAUAUUGCACAAUGGGCGAAAGCCUGAUGCAGCAACGCCGCGUGAGCGAUGAAGGCCUUCGGGUCGUAAAGCUCUGUCCUCAAGGAAGAUAAUGACGGUACUUGAGGAGGAAGCCCCGGCUAACUACGUGCCAGCAGCCGCGGUAAUACGUAGGGGGCUAGCGUUAUCCGGAAUUACUGGGCGUAAAGGGUGCGUAGGUGGUUUCUUAAGUCAGAGGUGAAAGGUUACGGCUCAACCGUAGUAAGCCUUUGAAACUGGGAAACUUGAGUGCAGGAGAGGAGAGUGGAAUUCCUAGUGUAGCGGUGAAAUGCGUAGAUAUUAGGAGGAACACCAGUUGCGAAGGCGGCUCUCUGGACUGUAACUGACACU